AGAGUUUGAUCCUGGCUCAGAUUGAACGCUGGCGGUAUGCUUAACACAUGCAAGUCGAACGGUAGCAGGCCUUCGGGCGCUGACGAGUGGCGGACGGGUGAGUAACGCGUAGGAAUCUGCCCUGUAGUGGGGGACAACUUAUGGAAACGUAAGCUAAUACCGCAUACGCCCUUCGGGGGAAAGCGGGGGAUCUUCGGACCUCGCGCUAUAGGAUGAGCCUGCGUUGGAUUAGCUAGUUGGUAGGGUAAAGGCCUACCAAGGCGACGAUCCAUAGCUGGUCUGAGAGGACGAUCAGCCACACUGGGACUGAGACACGGCCCAGACUCCUACGGGAGGCAGCAGUGGGGAAUAUUGGACAAUGGGCGCAAGCCUGAUCCAGCAAUACCGCGUGUGUGAAGAAGGCCUGAGGGUUGUAAAGCACUUUCAAUUGGGAGGAAAAAGGCAAGCUUAAUACGUUUGCCCUUGACAUUACCUUUAGAAGAAGCACCGGCUAACUCCGUGCCAGCAGCCGCGGUAAU
rnacentral:rRNA from 1 species